rnacentral:tRNA from 1 species
CGAGGAUUCGCCAAGUUGGUAAGGCAGCGGAAUUUGACUCCGCCAGCGCUGAACAAGCGGUCACAGGUUCGAGUCCUGUAUCCUCGG